rnacentral:rRNA from 1 species
GCUUAGAGUUUGAUCCUGGCUCAGGAUGAACGCUGGCGGCGUGCCUAAUACAUGCAAGUCGAACGGGAACCACUGUUUUCGGAUGGUGGGGAGAGUGGCGCACGGGUGAGUAACACGUAGCUGACCUGCCCUUUGCCGGGGGAUAACUCAGCGAAAGCUGAGCUAAUACCGCGUAAUCUCGACGGGGUUAGAGGCCUGUUGAGGAAAGCACUGGCAGCGGCGAAGGAGGGGGCUGCGGUCCAUCAGCUAGCUGGUCGGGUAACGGCCUACCAGGGCGACGACGGAUAGGGGGCCUGAGAGGGUGACCCCCCACACUGGAACUGAUACACGGUCCAGACUCCUGCGGGAGGCAGCAGUAAGGAAUAUUGCACAAUGGGCGCCAGCCUGAUGCAGCAACGCCGCGUGAAGGAAGAAGGUCUUCGGAUCGUAAACUUCUUUUCUGCGUGAAGAGGAAGGACGGUAGCGCAGGAAUAAGUCUCGGCUAACUACGUGCCAGCAGCCGCGGUAAAACGUAAGAGGCGAGCGUUAUCCGGAAUUACUGGGCGUAAAGCGUGCGCAGGCGGUUGUGUAAGUGGUGCGUGAAAGCUCCCGGCUCAACCGGGAGAGGUCGUACCGAACUGCACAACUGGAGACAGCGAGAGGCAGAUGGAAUUCCAGGUGGAGUGGUGAAAUGCGUAUAGAUCCGGAGGAACACCAGUGGCGAAUGCGAUCUGCUGGCGCUGAUCUGACGCU